GCAAUGAUGAAACCAUGUGGCAUUGAUGUGUUUGAACUGAUGUUGCCCAUUUUGUCCUCUAAGAAGUUCUGAGCUU